GAUGAACGCUGGCGGCGUGCCUAAUACAUGCAAGUCGAGCGAACGGACGAGAAGCUUGCUUUUCUGAUGUUAGCGGCGGACGGGUGAGUAACACGUGGAUAACCUACCUAUAAGACUGGGAUAACUUCGGGAAACCGGAGCUAAUACCGGAUAAUAUUUUGAACCGCAUGGUUCAAAGGUGAAAGACGGUCUUGCUGUCACUUAUAGAUGGAUCCGCGCUGCGUUAGCUAGUUGGUAAGGUAACGGCUUACCAAGGCAACGAUGCAUAGCCGACCUGAGAGGGUGAUCGGCCACACUGGAACUGAGACACGGUCCAGACUCCUACGGGAGGCAGCAGUAGGGAAUCUUCCGCAAUGGGCGAAAGCCUGACGGAGCAACGCCGCGUGAGUGAUGAAGGUCUUCGGAUCGUAAAACUCUGUUAUUAGGGAAGAACAUAUGUGUAAGUAACUGUGCACAUCUUGACGGUACCUAAUCAGAAAGCCACGGCUAACUACGU
rnacentral:rRNA from 1 species